CACACAUACACACACACACGCACACACACACACACACACACACACACACACACCAUUACCUCUGCUUUACCAUGUUAUUAGACAUUGGUUUAACUCCAUUUAAGCAUUUAAACGUUAAAAGCAUUGCACUUGUACGACGUUGUAAUACUUUUUUUUUACCAGCCGAUGACGACGAAGUGAAAGACGAUGAACUUUGCUUAAACAGUCUUACAAAGUUGGAAGAUGAUUAUCGAGGUGUGUUUAAACCUUCGAAUUAUUUAAUAUUGUGUGUAUUCAUUAUUUUGUUUUAUAGAGGAUUUGCCGUAAGAUCCUAACGCGAUCGUUUUAACACAAUCGCAGUCUGGUGAGUCAAAUGAUUCUCAUUUUACAAGAAAAAAAACAUGCGGUAUACGAUACAUAUAUACAUAUAUUUACUUACAUCUCCGGCUCGCUGGUCUCCCUUAAAGCUGGCGGGUCCGUCAACGGCCGUUCCAGGCAGAGGAGAAGGCUUGAUUGUGCCAAAGACUCCAGACAUCGAAUCCUUGCUCCGAGGGGAAAUCAUCGAAAACGACGGUGAAUGUCCAACAGGCACCCGCUAUUGGUAACACUGGACAAGUCGGAUAUCCUUGCUUGGAUCCUUUUAAAGUUGCCCGAUAAACUGCUGAGAGUUGAUCUCUCCUCUUGUCCAAAGGUUUUUCGUUCAUUUUUACUUGUAAUACUGCCACUAGGGUUGAUGUAGUAGCUCCACAACAUAACCUUAAAGCCUGUGACUGGAUCCGGUCUAUUUUCCCAAGUCAUGUUUUUGAAGCAGAUUGGUAAAUAAUGCAUCCGUAAUCAAUAACAGAUGGAAUUAAAGUUAUAAAUAUAUACAUGUAUUGUUUUCAACGUUAACCUAUCAGCCCCCCAAUCAUUACCCCUCAAAGACCUCAUUAUAUUUAACACCUUUUUACUUUUUCCCCUAUUUUUUUAUUUUCCGGAAGGAACACUCCUGAAGGAAUAAAUAAAGUACUAUCUAAUCUAAUCUAAUCAAAUCUAUUUUGCUGAUGUGGGUUGACUAGUUCAUAUUUUUAUCAAACCAUAUUCCUAAAUAUUUAAAUACUUGUACCUCUUCUAUAUUUUCACCUUAGAGUUUUUAUUUGGAGCUUGUUUGGUACUUUUGUCUUUGUAAAAUGUAUGACUUUUGUCUUUCCAACAGAGAAUCUUAAACCUCAA